rnacentral:RNase_P_RNA from 1 species
CCCGCAGGUCGCCUUAUCGCUCCGUUUUUACGGGGAGGAAAGUCCGGACACCAUAGGGCAGCAUAGCGGGUAACGCCCGUCACCGUGCUAACACGGGAGGACAAGUGCAGCAGAAAGUAUGUACAGGUAAUGCUGUAGUGAAACCAGGUAAACUCUAUGCGGUGCAAUGUCAAGUAUACCAGCAAUUAAGGGCUGCUCGCCCAAUGCUGGAGGGUAGACAGAUAGAGCAUAACAGCAAUGUUAUGCCUAGAUAAAUGAUAAGGGUUUCUUUUCUUAGAAAUACAGAAUCCGGCUUACAGACCUGCUUUAUUU